rnacentral:rRNA from 1 species
UACGGAGGAUGCAAGCGUUAUCCGGAUUCAUUGGGUUUAAAGGGUGCGCAGGCGGAUUGAUAAGUCAGGGGUGAAAUCCCACAGCUCAACUGUGGAACUGCCCUUGAUACUGUUAGUCUAGAGUAUAGUUGAAGUGGGCGGAAUGUGUCAUGUAGCGGUGAAAUGCUUAGAUAUGACACAGAACACCGAUCGCGAAGGCAGCUCGCUAAGCUAUAACUGACGCUCAUGCACGAAAGUGUGGGGAGCAAACAGG